GCCAUAUGAUGUACCUUAGAUGUCAUGAGCACUCUGUGUGAUGCUGACCUUAUAUCUAUCACCCAGUAACUGAUGGUU